rnacentral:pre_miRNA from 1 species
UUAAUGCAAAUUGUAGGGAGUUGGAACAGCGCCUCUAGCGGCAAACGAAGGGAAGCUGUUCCGAUUCCAUACAAAUUUAAGUUA